ACCUCGGUAGCGCAGUAGGCAGCGCGUAUAUCUCCCAAUCGUAAGGUCGCGAGUUCGAUCCUCACCCGGGUCU
rnacentral:tRNA from 1 species